CUCAUGGCUCCUCUUUUUCAUGCUCUGAUACUAUGUUUUUUCUCAUAAAGGGUGGUUAUUGAGCUAUCUCACGAAGUAUGACUCAAGUGACAUCUCUACUGAUCUCAUCAAAGUCUUUUCCAGAGGCUUCAAGGAAAGAUGGAGAGAUAAGGACUUGGUAAUGUUGAGAUCUGGAACACAUUAAAAAACAGGAUGCAGUGCUUCUUAGGCUUCUGCCCAGGCUCUCAGGAAUAAUGCAAGCAGCACAAAUCUCCUCACAGCUGCCUGAACAGCCAGCUCUUGCAGCAACAUGAACUGAUGUGCAGCCACGAUGCCCGGCUUGCAGGUGACAGAACAUCUUGGGCAGGACGUGGGGCACGGCACUGUCUCACUGGAUAGAGGAGAGGGAGCUGCUGCUCAUGGAGCACCUUUCAGUCAGCGUGAGUAAAAGCACACUUGAUUCUCAGCCAGCGCUGUCUACACAUCAGACAUUCAGCUGUUCCAUGAAGUUUGAUUUUUGGAGACGAUUUUUUGUAACUGAGUUGUUACCAUGCUGUCAAUUUAACUAUGUAACACACUGCAGGCAGACUAUGACUUUCCUCUAAGGAGUUCUGUGUGGAUUCCAAAACUCAGAAAAGGAUUGCUGCAGUUCCCACUCUCCUGAAACCAUCGUGGAAACUACUGCUUUGGGCUAUCUCACCAUUUUUACCUUGGCUGAAAUUUAACAGAUAUAAUAUGACUGCUAGUAUUGACAAAAAAAAAAAAACAAACAAAACUCUCCUACUAUUUUGCCUUGGACUUUCAGGGCCAAAGUAUUUAAAGGCCUGAAACUUUGGUUUGGGUUAUGUAUUUGUCAGGUCGAAGUUACUGCAACAACUACUUGUUUAGAAACCUGUCACUUAAAUGGAAGUGCUUGGUUUGUACCUUAUGUAUGACUGUUGCUGGUAAUAUGUAAAUGAUGUCUAGGACAUUUAAGGAAGCAUGCUCUUAAUAAACAGAAAAACAUACUGUUAAUAAACAGAAUGUGAAGAAACAGCUUGUACACACAAACAAGGACUAAUGUAGCCCACGAUGCAAUAAAUCUAUGACAGGA